AUUUCUGUUGUUACCAGAAUAUUGUAGGAAGGGUGGACUAUGAAGGGAAACACUGGUGUUCUAAGAUAGAUGUUCUGUGUUUGAGAUCUUGCCUUGGUAGCUGGAUGCCUUGGUGCAAGACAUUCAAGGUUGUUUGAUGCGUUCGUGCUCGUCGGCGGGACGGUGCAAGGUGCAACUCCGACGCGGUUCCUCGCCGGUUGGACGGCGUUCAGGCGCAACCCCGGCGCGCACUGAGUACUGCCUCGGCUACAGCCUCCCUCGCCAAGAUGAGUGCUCUACGCUUACGGCUCAUGCUAACUGAACUGGUGAUGUUUCUUUCUUCACCUCGAUUGACGCCACAUGUUCCCCCUGGUUGCCGCGUCGUCCUCGUCUUCGGCUUGCAAGGGACUGGAUCUGGUGUGAUUGAUUCUUCCUCUCACAAGGUGGGUACAUCCUCUGUUUCGAUUUCUUUCACGAGUUUUGGUUUGCCUUACCGGAUUGCUUCGCGUCUAUACACGAUUAUACCCAAAGCUCACUUUCCUUUCUUAACUCAUCUGGGGUGGCUCUUGGAUCCAUCUGUCCUGUUUAG